CGUAGGAUCCGCCUCCGGAGCUAGACGGGCAGAAGGGCAGAGUUACCUCUCCCGUAGAGCCACGGUGGGCAGCGUUAUUGUUGUUUUAGGAAGUAAGCAGAACACGUUUUGAGAAAAUCCAGCCCUGCCAAAACUGAAUACCUGUAAUUCCUACCAUGAACUUCUCCUUAUGAGGGAAAAAUAAUUUGAAAGAAUGAAACUACUGAAAAGGAAAGUAACCUUGGGGCCAGCGCUGUGGCACAGCGAGUUAAUGGCUUGUCCUGGAGUGCCAGCAUCCCAUAUGGGCGCCGGUUCUAGUCCUGGCUGCUCUACUUCCAAUCCAGCUCUCUGCUAUGUCCUGGGAAAGCAGUAGAAGAUGGCCCAAGGCCUUGGGCCCCUAUACCUGCAUGGGAGACCAGGAAGAAGCUCCUGGCUCCUGGCUUCAGAUCGGCGCAGAUCCGGCAGCUGCAGCCAUCUGGGGAGUAAACCAUCGGAUGGAAGACCUCUCUCUUCUCUCUGCCUCUCCUCUCUCUGUGUAAU